GUGGGGAAUAUUGGACAAUGGGGGGAACCCUGAUCCAGCCAUGCCGCGUGUGUGAAGAAGGCCUUUUGGUUGUAAAGCACUUUAAGCGAGGAGGAGGCGCUCUAGGCUAAUACCCUAGAUGCGUGGACGUUACUCGCAGAAUAAGCACCGGCUAACUCUGUGCCAGCAGCCGCGGUAAUACAGAGGGUGCGAGCGUUAAUCGGAUUUACUGGGAGUAAAGCUCGCGUAGGUGGCUAAUUAAGUCAAAUGUGUAAUCACCGAGCUUAACUUGGGAAUUGCAUUCGAUACUGGUUGGCUAGAGUAUGGGAGAGGAUGGUAGAAUUCCAGGUGUAGCGGUGAAAUGCGUAGAGAUCUGGAGGAAUACCGAUGGCGAAGGCAGCCAUCUGGCCUAAUACUGACACUGAGGUGCGAAAGCAUGGGGAGCAAACAGGAUUAGAUACCCCUGUAGUCC
rnacentral:rRNA from 1 species